rnacentral:rRNA from 1 species
GACAGAGGUGCCAAGCGUUAGGCGGAAUCACUGGGCUUAAAGCGUGUGUAGGCGGGCGAUCAAGUACCUUGUGAAAUCCCACGGCUCAACCGUGGAACUGCUGGGUAUACUGGUUGUCUUGAGCCAGCUAGGGGCGAGCGGAACAGACGGUGGAGCGGUGAAAUGCGUUGAUAUCUACAGGAACUCCGGUGGGCGAAGACGGGCGUGCUGGACCUUUUUCUGACGCUGAGGCGCGAAAGCUAGGGGGAGCAAAACGGG